rnacentral:tRNA from 1 species
GGUGUCCGUAGCUCAAUGGCAGAGCCGUGGGUUGUGAACCUGCUGGUGCCGGUUCGACUCCGGUCGGUCACCCCCA